AUGAACGCUGGCGGCGUGCCUCAUACCUGCCAGUCGCGCGAACAGACGAGGAGCUUGCUCCUCUGACGUUAGCGGCGGACGGGUGAGUAACACGUGGAUAACCUACCUAUAAGACUGGGAUAACUUCGGGAAACCGGAGCUAAUACCGGAUAAUAUAUUGAACCGCAUGGUUCAAUAGUGAAAGACGGUUUUGCUGUCACUUAUAGAUGGAUCCGCGCCGCAUUAGCUAGUUGGUAAGGUAACGGCUUACCAAGGCGACGAUGCGUAGCCGACCUGAGAGGGUGAUCGGCCACACUGGAACUGAGACACGGUCCAGACUCCUACGGGAGGCAGCAGUAGGGAAUCUUCCGCAAUGGGCGAAAGCCUGACGGAGCAACGCCGCGUGAGUGAUGAAGGUCUUCGGAUCGUAAAACUCUGUUAUUAGGGAAGAACAAAUGUGUAAGUAACUAUGCACGUCUUGACGGUACCUAAUCAGAAAGCCACGGCUAACUACGUG
rnacentral:rRNA from 1 species